ACUCAAGAGUCAAGAGCUGGGUUCUACCAGGAAAAUUAAGGUGAUUUUCAUUCAGCGUUUCACAUUGGAGGGCUGUGAUGCUACUGUUUUCGACUAGUUGCCACAAGGCAUAAUUUUUUUUAAAAUCUUUAUAUUGAUUAAAGUUGAGCUUAGGUUUCUUGUUUGAAUAUAUUUGUUUUCCUUAUUUUAAUGCACUAACUGACUUGGGCUCGCCAAACCUACUCUGAGUCAAGACCGCAGGCCUUGGGCUAAGGUACCUCCUUUUAAGAGGAACACAGAGGCUCUUUAACUGGCAUACCCCAGGAGUCAACUGUGAGGCAGUCUUUAAAGAUGUGAACACGCAAUGAAUAUGGAGGCCAGUGUGUCCUCAGUCGAAAAAGGCUGUGCUCGCUACCCGUCCGUGAGUCCUGCACUGCUACUCUUUAGAUGAACCUGCCUUGCCCAAUUACCCCCUGCUGACCUCAGAUGCCAGCUAAAUCGAAUGUGUGAAGACUCCCGAUGGACGCGUGGCGGUCAGGUCACACACAUGUACCGAGGC